rnacentral:rRNA from 1 species
CAGCCGCCGCGGGAAUACGGAGGGUGCAAGCGUUAAUCGGAAUUACUGGGCGUAAAGCGCACGCAGGCGGUCUGUCAAGUCGGAUGUGAAAUCCCCGGGCUCAACCUGGGAACUGCAUUCGAAACUGGCAGGCUAGAGUCUUGUAGAGGGUGGUGGAAUUUCCUGUGUAGCGGUGAAAUGCGUAGAUAUAGGAAGGAACACCAGUGGCGAAGGCGACCACCUGGACUGAUACUGACACUGAGGUGCGAAAGCGUGGGGAGCAAACAGGAUUAGAUACCCCAGUAGUCCCUGUCUCUUAUAA